GAUGAACGCUGGCGGCGUGCCUAAUACAUGCAAGUCGAGCGAACGGACGAGAAGCUUGCUUCUCUGAUGUUAGCGGCGGACGGGUGAGUAACACGUGGAUAACCUACCUAUAAGACUGGGAUAACUUCGGGAAACCGGAGCUAAUACCGGAUGAUAUUUUGAACCGCAUGGUUCAAAAGUGAAAGACGGUCUUGCUGUCACUUAUAGAUGGAUCCGCGCUGCAUUAGCUAGUUGGUAAGGUAACGGCUUACCAAGGCAACGAUGCAUAGCCGACCGGAGAGGGGGAUCGGCCACCCUGGAACUGAGACGCGGUCCAGACUCCUACGGGAGGCAGCAGUAGGGAAUCUUCCGCAAUGGGCGAAAGCCUGACGGAGCAACGCCGCGUGAGUGAUGAAGGUCUUCGGAUCGUAAAACUCUGUUAUUAGUGAAGAACAUAUGUGUAAGUAACUGUGCACAUCUUGACGGUACCUAAUCAGAAAGCCACGGCUAACUACGUG
rnacentral:rRNA from 1 species